GGUAGAAUGGCUGAUAAAGGUGAUAAAUUGUAAAUUUAUUUAUGAGAUUUUCUCUUCUAUUA
rnacentral:tRNA from 1 species